CCAUAGCAUCAUAGAAACACCACCGCCAUACCUACAGCAUUAAAGAACUCACCGCACCACCGCACCAAUGCCACACCCACAUCAUCAUAGAAACACCACCGCCAUACCUGCAGCAUUAUAUUUUAACUCACUUUGCAUCUCAUUUUUGAAGUUAGAUCUUAAAACAUAUAGAUGGGUGUAAUUUCCACUUUAUGAUAUUUUAGUGAGUAUCCGAUGUGGGAAGUGAGAAGUUUGGAAUAAUGAAAGUAACUUCAAUUGAUGGCUCUUUUGGUUGUUUAAUUUGUAAAAUAAACUAAUUAUUAUUUUUAUCUUAUUUUAACUAA
rnacentral:lncRNA from 1 species